UACGUAGGGGGCUAGCGUUGUUCGGAUUUACUGGGCGUAAAGGGCGCGUAGGCGGCCACCGCAAGUCGACUGUGAAAUCUCCGGGCUUAACCCGGAAAGGUCAGCCGAUACUGCGGGGCUAGAGUGCAGAAGGGGCAACUGGAAUUCUCGGUGUAGCGGUGAAAUGCGUAGAUAUCGAGAGGAACACCUGCGGCGAAGGCGGGUUGCUGGGCUGACACUGACGCUGAUGUGCGAAAGCUAGGGGAGCGAACGGG
rnacentral:rRNA from 1 species